rnacentral:rRNA from 1 species
UUUAUGGAGAGUUUGAUCCUGGCUCAGGAUGAACGCUGGCGGCGUGCCUAAUACAUGCAAGUCGAGCGAACGGACGAGAAGCUUGCUUCUCUGAUGUUAGCGGCGGACGGGUGAGUAACACGUGGAUAACCUACCUAUAAGACUGGGAUAACUUCGGGAAACCGGAGCUAAUACCGGAUAAUAUUUUGAACCGCAUGGUUCAAAAGUGAAAGACGGUCUUGCUGUCACUUAUAGAUGGAUCCGCGCUGCAUUAGCUAGUUGGUAAGGUAACGGCUUACCAAGGCAACGAUGCAUAGCCGACCUGAGAGGGUGAUCGGCCACACUGGAACUGAGACACGGUCCAGACUCCUACGGGAGGCAGCAGUAGGGAAUCUUCCGCAAUGGGCGAAAGCCUGACGGAGCAACGCCGCGUGAGUGAUGAAGGUCUUCGGAUCGUAAAACUCUGUUAUUAGGGAAGAACAUAUGUGUAAGUAACUGUGCACAUCUUGACGGUACCUAAUCAGAAAGCCACGGCUAACUACGUGCCAGCAGCCGCGGUAAUACGUAGGUGGCAAGCGUUAUCCGGAAUUAUUGGGCGUAAAGCGUGCGUAGGCGGUUUUUUAAGUCUGAUGUGAAAGCCCACGGCUCAACCGUGGAGGGUCAUUGGAAACUGGAAAACUUGAGUGCAGAAGAGGAAAGUGGAAUUCCAUGUGUAGCGGUGAAAUGCGCAGAGAUAUGGAGGAACACCAGUGGCGAAGGCGACUUUCUGGUCUGUAACUGACGCUGAUGUGCGAAAGCGUGGGGAUCAAACAGGAUUAGAUACCCUGGUAGUCCACGCCGUAAACGAUGAGUGCUAAGUGUUAGGGGGUUUCCGCCCCUUAGUGCUGCAGCUAACGCAUUAAGCACUCCGCCUGGGGAGUACGACCGCAAGGUUGAAACUCAAAGGAAUUGACGGGGACCCGCACAAGCGGUGGAGCAUGUGGUUUAAUUCGAAGCAACGCGAAGAACCUUACCAAAUCUUGACAUCCUUUGACAACUCUAGAGAUAGAGCCUUCCCCUUCGGGGGGCAAAGUGACAGGUGGUGCAUGGUUGUCGUCAGCUCGUGUCGUGAGAUGUUGGGUUAAGUCCCGCAACGAGCGCAACCCUUAAGCUUAGUUGCCAUCAUUAAGUUGGGCACUCUAAGUUGACUGCCGGUGACAAACCGGAGGAAGGUGGGGAUGACGUCAAAUCAUCAUGCCCCUUAUGAUUUGGGCUACACACGUGCUACAAUGGACAAUACAAAGGGCAGCGAAACCGCGAGGUCAAGCAAAUCCCAUAAAGUUGUUCUCAGUUCGGAUUGUAGUCUGCAACUCGACUACAUGAAGCUGGAAUCGCUAGUAAUCGUAGAUCAGCAUGCUACGGUGAAUACGUUCCCGGGUCUUGUACACACCGCCCGUCACACCACGAGAGUUUGUAACACCCGAAGCCGGUGGAGUAACCUUUUAGGAGCUAGCCGUCGAAGGUGGGACAAAUGAUUGGGGUGAAGUCGUAACAAGGUAGCCGUAUCGGAAGGUGCGGCUGGAUCACCUCCUUUCU